GGUCUGGAUUGGCGACGGAGGAAUCGUCGCAUAGCGUAGUCCGGGCAGCGCGACUGUGGAGGGGCGGCGGAAAAGGCGGGAGGCAUCGGGCUCCGCAGCCGGGGGUCCGGCGGGUGAUGAUGGGCUCGAGCCGCGAGGUGCUGCAGAAAGGGUUGCAGAGGGCUUCCGCUGCGAUUGGGGAAGGGGGCGCGAGAAUCCAUCCGGUCAUGACCGGCGACGAGGCGGAGCGGCGGGGUCGGAGAAGUUGAGCCACGCGGCGGGGGAACUCUGAAGCGGGCAUGCUACUCGAGUGCGUCUAUCGUGGGGGAUCUGGAAGAAAGAUUUUGUGGGUCCACCGGUCAGUCUCAGUUGGUCCACUGCUCAGAUUGAGCGAGAGGUGUUGCGGGAAGGCUUAGAAGGAUCCGGCAGGUGAGUUGGGGUCGGCGGGGUCGGGACUGGGGAACCAGCGGAGAGGGGUCGGAUCUCAGGGGUCGGGAUGGGACUGGAGGUUGAGCAUUUCAACUCGGGGAGCUGAGGUGGGGAAUUAGGGACUCGGAUGAAGAUUAACUCAAGAGAUUUGGGGUCGGUCGUCACACUAGAUCAGUAACCUUGGAAGCAACAUGUUUUAAUUCCCCAAGGUAUAGGGCAUAUUUGGUUGCCUUGCUAACUCUAGCCUGGUUAGGAUUUGGAGCCAUGAUAUCUUUAAGCCUACGUCGUAUUUGGUUGCUUGGUCAGUACAAUCCUGGCUAAUAUAAUAUUGUGUUUGGUUGCAUGUAGAACUAAUAUGAUA
rnacentral:lncRNA from 1 species